rnacentral:ncRNA from 1 species
UUAAUAAUCUAUGGGAGCUAUGUGCUGAGAGGAAGUUAGACUUCGACCAUUUUUACCUGCAGGAUAAUGCCUGCGUGGGAUGAGGCAUGUUUUUCUCCU